rnacentral:rRNA from 1 species
ACCCAGCAUGAGUUAUGUCAUGUUAUCGAUAUGUGAAUACAUAGCAUAUCAGAAGGCACACCCGGAGAACUGAAACAUCUUAGUACCCGGAGGAAGAGAAAGAAAAUUCGAUUCCCUUAGUAGCGGCGAGCGAAACGGGAAGAGCCCAAACCAACAAGCUUGCUUGUUGGGGUUGUAGGACACUCUAUACGGAGUUACAAAGGACGACAUUAGACGAAUCAUCUGGAAAGAUGAAUCAAAGAAGGUAAUAAUCCUGUAGUCGAAAAUGUUGUCUCUCUUGAGUGGAUCCUGAGUACGACGGAGCACGUGAAAUUCCGUCGGAAUCUGGGAGGACCAUCUCCUAAGGCUAAAUACUCUCUAGUGACCGAUAGUGAACCAGUACCGUGAGGGAAAGGUGAAAAGCACCCCGGAAGGGGAGUGAAAUAGAACCUGAAACCGUGUGCUUACAAGUAGUCAGAGCCCGUUAAUGGGUGAUGGCGUGCCUUUUGUAGAAUGAACCGGCGAGUUACGAUUUGAUGCAAGGUUAAGCAGUAAAUGUGGAGCCGUAGCGAAAGCGAGUCUGAAUAGGGCGUUUAGUAUUUGGUCGUAGACCCGAAACCAGGUGAUCUACCCUUGGUCAGGUUGAAGUUCAGGUAACACUGAAUGGAGGACCGAACCGACUUACGUUGAAAAGUGAGCGGAUGAACUGAGGGUAGCGGAGAAAUUCCAAUCGAACCUGGAGAUAGCUGGUUCUCUCCGAAAUAGCUUUAGGGCUAGCCUCAAGUGAUGAUUAUUGGAGGUAGAGCACUGUUUGGACGAGGGGCCCCUCUCGGGUUACCGAAUUCAGACAAACUCCGAAUGCCAAUUAAUUUAACUUGGGAGUCAGAACAUGGGUGAUAAGGUCCGUGUUCGAAAGGGAAACAGCCCAGACCACCAGCUAAGGUCCCAAAAUAUAUGUUAAGUGGAAAAGGAUGUGGCGUUGCCCAGACAACUAGGAUGUUGGCUUAGAAGCAGCCAUCAUUUAAAGAGUGCGUAAUAGCUCACUAGUCGAGUGACACUGCGCCGAAAAUGUACCGGGGCUAAACAUAUUACCGAAGCUGUGGAUUGUCCUUUGGACAAUGGUAGGAGAGCGUUCUAAGGGCGUUGAAGCAUGAUCGUAAGGACAUGUGGAGCGCUUAGAAGUGAGAAUGCCGGUGUGAGUAGCGAAAGACGGGUGAGAAUCCCGUCCACCGAUUGACUAAGGUUUCCAGAGGAAGGCUCGUCCGCUCUGGGUUAGUCGGGUCCUAAGCUGAGGCCGACAGGCGUAGGCGAUGGAUAACAGGUUGAUAUUCCUGUACCACCUAUAAUCGUUUUAAUCGAUGGGGGGACGCAGUAGGAUAGGCGAAGCGUGCGAUUGGAUUGCACGUCUAAGCAGUAAGGCUGAGUAUUAGGCAAAUCCGGUACUCGUUAAGGCUGAGCUGUGAUGGGGAGAAGACAUUGUGUCUUCGAGUCGUUGAUUUCACACUGCCGAGAAAAGCCUCUAGAUAGAAAAUAGGUGCCCGUACCGCAAACCGACACAGGUAGUCAAGAUGAGAAUUCUAAGGUGAGCGAGCGAACUCUCGUUAAGGAACUCGGCAAAAUGACCCCGUAACUUCGGGAGAAGGGGUGCUCUUUAGGGUUAACGCCCAGAAGAGCCGCAGUGAAUAGGCCCAAGCGACUGUUUAUCAAAAACACAGGUCUCUGCUAAACCGUAAGGUGAUGUAUAGGGGCUGACGCCUGCCCGGUGCUGGAAGGUUAAGAGGAGUGGUUAGCUUCUGCGAAGCUACGAAUCGAAGCCCCAGUAAACGGCGGCCGUAACUAUAACGGUCCUAAGGUAGCGAAAUUCCUUGUCGGGUAAGUUCCGACCCGCACGAAAGGCGUAACGAUUUGGGCACUGUCUCAACGAGAGACUCGGUGAAAUCAUAGUACCUGUGAAGAUGCAGGUUACCCGCGACAGGACGGAAAGACCCCGUGGAGCUUUACUGUAGCCUGAUAUUGAAAUUCGGCACAGCUUGUACAGGAUAGGUAGGAGCCUUUGAAACGUGAGCGCUAGCUUACGUGGAGGCGCUGGUGGG